rnacentral:rRNA from 1 species
UACGGAGGGUGCAAGGCGUUAUCCGGAUUUACUGGGUUUAAAGGGUGCGUAGGUGGGUCUGUAAGUCAGUGGUGGAAAUCUCCGAGCUUAACUCGGAAACUGCCAUUGAUACUAUAGAUCUUGAAUUAUCUGGAGGUGAGCGGAAUAUGUCAUGUAGCGGUGAAAUGCUUAGAUAUGACAUAGAACACCAAUUGCGAAGGCAGCUCACUACGGAUUGAUUGACACUGAGGCACGAAAGCGUGGGGAUCAAACAGG